AGUUUUUUAUGUUGUAUUUUUUAACCUAUACUAACUACUACUUAAUAAUACUGUGCUGCUAUAUUUGUAUAGAAAUAAGAAGAAAGAAAAAACUGUGCUACUAAGAAAGGGAACAAGAAAAA
rnacentral:ribozyme from 14 species